AGUGAACGCUGGCGGCGUGCUUAACACAUGCAAGUCGAACGAGAACGGUCCUUCGGGACGUCAGCUAAGUGGCGCACGGGUGAGUAAAGUAUAGUUAAUCUGCCCCCCAGAGAGGGAUAACAACUAGAAAUGGUUGCUAAUACCUCAUACUCCUUUAUUAUUAAUUAGUAAAGGGAAACGAAUUUCGCUGGGGGAUGGGACUAUAUCCUAUCAGCUUGUUGGUGAGGUAAUGGCUCACCAAGGCUAUGACGGGUAGCUGGUCUUAGAGGAUGAUCAGCCACACUGGUACUGAGACAUGGACCAGACUCCUACGGGAGGCAGCAGUGGGGAAUAUUGGGCAAUGGACGAAAGUCUGACCCAGCAACGCCGCGUGGAGGAUGAAGCACUUCGGUGUGUAAACUCCUUUUAACUAAGAAGAUAAUGACGGUAUUAGUUGAAUAAGCACCGGCUAACUCCGUGCCAGCCGCCGCGGUAAUAC
rnacentral:rRNA from 1 species